rnacentral:rRNA from 1 species
UACGGAGGGUGCGAGCGUUGUCCGGAAUCAUUGGGCGUAAAGGGCGCGUAGGUGGCGGGACAAGCGUGCGGUGAAAGCCUGGGGCUCAACCCCGGGUCGGCCGUGCGAACUGUUUUGCUUGAGCACUGUAGAGGCAGGCGGAAUUCCGGGUGUAGCGGUGGAAUGCGUAGAGAUCCGGAAGAACACCGGUGGCGAAGGCGGUCUGCUGGGCAGUUGCUGACACUGAGGCGCGACAGCGUGGGGAGCAAACAGG